UACGUAGGGUGCGAGCGUUGUCCGGAAUUAUUGGGCGUAAAGGGCUCGUAGGCGGUCUGUCGCGUCGGGAGUGAAAACUCAGGGCUUAACCCUGAGCCUGCUUCCGAUACGGGCAGACUAGAGGUAUGCAGGGGAGAACGGAAUUCCUGGUGUAGCGGUGGAAUGCGCAGAUAUCAGGAGGAACACCAAUUGCGAAGGCAGCUCGCUGGGACGUUACUGACGCUGAGACGCGAAAGCGUGGGGAGCAAACAGG
rnacentral:rRNA from 1 species